rnacentral:lncRNA from 1 species
CCAUUAGAAUAAUCAUGAAAUGGAAUUCUGCCUACGCUGCAUAAUCGGAGCUACAUCUUGUUACGGAUGCAGUGGUAUAGAAUGGAAUGUGCAUGGGUAGAAACUAGCAAACUUUUUGCCUUGCCUGUUGAAAGUCAUCCGCGUCUGAUAGGUUUCUUGCAUAUAGAAUGUAAUGGGCAUGGGUAGAAACUAGCAAACUUUUUACCUUGCCUGUCAGACUGAUACAGUCUUGGACUGGGGAUCAUCCAUAGUUUUGCAACAGAGAAAUUUUGUGUACAUAUUGUUUACAGAAUGGAGGCAGAG